CAGGAAACGCAUUCCUAAGUACAAUAUUCAUGGGCUGGGCUGACACUUUUAAUUAAGGUGAUUUACACUGAAUUAUCCUUGGAAAUAAAGAAAUGGUGCACUGCCCGGGAAUAAACCAUCAUCACCAGCCGCCUUUAUGGAGUCUCUCUCUGUCACCCAGGUGGUAAUGCAGUGGUGUGAUCUUGGUGCACUGCAACCUCUGCCUCCUGGGUUCAAGCGAUUCUCCUGCCUCAGCCUCCUGAGUAGCUAGGAUUACACGUGCGCACCACCAUGCCCAGCUAAUUUUUGUAUUUUUAGUAGAGACAGGGUUUUACCAUGUUGACCAGGCUGGUCUCGAACUCCUGGCCUCAAAUGACCUACCCGCCUUGACCUUCCAAAGUGCUGGGAUUACAGGUGUGAGACACCACACUCGGCCUGAUUUAUCUUUUAAAGGCUUAUUUUGGCUGCUGUGCAAAGAAUAGAUCGUGGGAGGGCCGGAAAGGAAGCAGGAAGAUUGCAAUAGCACAAGUGUGAGAUGACAGUGACCUGCAUCGCGACAUGAGCGUGAAGGAGGGAGAAGUCUGGAUGCCUUCCCAUUCCUGAUACAUUGGAUCAAUAAAGUAAAAAGAGGUGCCAAGACUCAGAGGUGAAAUAGAAAGGAGGAGACUUCGGCUUUAGCCUGUUCUGAUCUAACCACAUAGUCUCGGGGACAUUAUCCGACCCCUCUGUACUUUACUUUCCUUAGUCCAACAUAAGUCCUUAACACAUGGCGUGCCUCCUGUGUGGUGGACAUUCAGCGCCAAAUGGAACGGACAAACAGCUACAUUCUAGUAGGGAAGAAGACAAGCAAUUUUCAGAAGAAAUGUUACCAAAGAUCCCCCAGAAUACUGUCAUAGAAAAGUGGACAAGGGAAAGGGACAGCGCUGGAUGGGGUUUGUAAGAAAAGCCCCAGUAAAGGCGUCAUGGAAGGUGAGUCAGGAACAGGACCUCCACCCUCACUAGAUCUGCCUCUCAGCUUUGCUGCUGUUCACUGAGAUGAGGGAUGGAAAAGCACAGGCACUACAGCAGUGACAAAGGACUGGACUGUCUGAACUUCGCUCAGCUCUCCUCCCCAUUACCCAAAAUAUAUACCCAUCGCUUCCAUUCGGACCUGAAAAACAGCAACUCCUUCCUUUGUGCUGCAAAGGCCUUUAGGGGCAGCGCCUUCUCUGGCACCUGUCUCUAGGGGCCUUCAUAGGAUGGUCCCAAGGGUGCCCGAUCUUCUAGGAGCUCACAGCACCUAGAACCACUGCCAAGUGUAAUACCAAACACCAUCAUAGGCCUGCUACCCCUUUCAGACUAUGAACUCCUGCUGGGGCCCAGGACGAUGCGGGUAGAGGGCGUCUAAACAAAUGACUAUUGAAGGAGUGGUCUAGAAAGAAAUGCCCCUUUUGUCUCCUUUUCUCAGCUCCCCAUGGCCUUCCUUCUCCCUUCCUCCUUGUUCCCCCUCAGCAGCCCCACACCCCUUCCCACCAGACCCUGGCUUCUCAGCAGGUAGUGUAGAGAUCCUGGCUCUGCCAGGGUGGGGUCUGAGCUGGUGCCUAAGUCAGCAGGCUUUGCCCACAGCCCCAUCCUGACA
rnacentral:lncRNA from 10 species